rnacentral:lncRNA from 1 species
GAAGCCUGUAAGAAUGUGUUCCACCRUGACGACUGAACUGGAGCAGAACAGUGUAGAUCAGACUAAGAAGAGAGCCAUGUAAUUUGAAGUUCACAAAGACAGCAAUCAAGAAGCAAGUUGAAUUAUAGACUAAGAAAUAUUCUGUGCCCACUGAAGAAUGCUGACAAUUCUGCUGCAUCAGCUGAUGAAGCCUGUGUGCACCAGUGCUCUGACAUGCUAGAUUGCUCUAUGUAAGGCAAAGAGUUUUGAUUUUGGAAGCCAGAAAGAGUUGCAGCAAUUUCAACUACAGUCAAAAGAAGGAAAAACCUCUAUCUUGGAGAAAYAGAAAAGAUCAGCAAGAAAAGGCAAGGACUCCUGCUUCAGAGAAGUUGAUUCUAGGAAAUUCCAAGCACCUUCAGUGCCAAGUGAACAUUAUGGAAAUUGUGCUCAUAUUCAGAAAUCGAUUCACUUCCUGAUUCCCGCUGUAAAAAGAGAAAUCCUCUGCAAGCAUCACUGGCUUUGAGGUUUUCUCAGAAUCAGCCKCAGUUACUGCUGGAGGGAUGAAAGAAAAGUC